rnacentral:tRNA from 1 species
GGAGAGAUGGCUGAGUGGUCGAAGGCGCUCGACUGGAAAUCGAGUAGGCGGGUAGCCCCUGUCUCGAGGGUUCAAAUCCCUCUCUCUCCGCCA